rnacentral:rRNA from 1 species
GACGAACGCUGGCGGCGUGCUUAACACAUGCAAGUCGAACGCUGAAGCUCAGCUUGCUGGGUGGAUGAGUGGCGAACGGGUGAGUAACACGUGAGUAACCUGCCCUCUUCUUUGGGAUAACGCCCGGAAACGGGUGCUAAUACUGGAUAUUCACUGAUUCUCGCAUGGGGGUUGGUGGAAAGGUUUUUUCUGGUGGGGGAUGGGCUCGCGGCCUAUCAGCUUGUUGGUGGGGUGAUGGCCUACCAAGGCUUUGACGGGUAGCCGGCCUGAGAGAGUGACCGGUCACAUUGGGACUGAGAUACGGCCCAGACUCCUACGGGAGGCAGCAGUGGGGAAUAUUGCACAAUGGGCGAAAGCCUGAUGCAGCGACGCCGCGUGAGGGAUGGAGGCCUUCGGGUUGUAAACCUCUUUCGCUCAUGGUCAAGCCGCAGCGUUGGGUUGUGGUGAGGGUAGUGGGUAAAGAAGCGCCGGCUAACUACGUG